UAUUUUUAGGUUUACACAGUUUGAAUUUGUUUACACAAUAUUUAUACAAACUAACAUGUCACCCUGAAGGAGGAAAAACCAUGUAAAUUCAUACCCUCUUUUACACGCUUUCUAAAAAUGCACAGGAGGUAAACAUUUAGUAAACAUGACAGAAAAAAGAGAAAGAAGGAAGUUAUUAACUACAUCAAACUAAAAAAAAUAAAACAUAUAAAAUAUAGUUGAAUCACAACUUUUUUAAAUUGUGAUUUUUCUCCCAUUAUUGUACUACUAUUUAGUAAGCAGUAUAAUUAAUAGUUUCAUACUGCAUCCAUCAUGCAUAAAUUACUUCCCUGUAUUUCUACUCCGUUCAAAGAGUCACUGACGCUCACGAUGACACAUGCACACAGGUACACACAAAAUAGAUCUUUAUAUACCCACAGAGUCACACAUCUGGAUCAAAGAUAUCAUAAUAGCUUAGGUUAUACAAGUUUUUCUCUCUGAGCGAUUCAUAUGAUCUUUCUAAUUCUGAUCCAUCAUUUAUAUAAUUUACUUUUGUUUUUUAGCUACAAUGUUUUCCACAACUUAAUGUCUCCUUAGAUUCAAAUCUACUUGGAAAUGGGCUAGUGCCAAAGAAGCAAUCUAACACCAUCUAUGUGGUUCAAUAGCCAUUUAUCAAUUGAUCAUUAUCUCUAUCUGGUUUUAUUAACUCUUUUCUAGCUAGAGGGAGACCUAAACCAAUCUUCUCUUCCAAACACACACACACAGCCCUGACUUCCACUAACUCACAGGAAACCCUGAUAGUGACAUCUAAUUUGUAAAGUGUGGCACAAGUUAUUUAGUCUUAAGGUCAGUGAAGACACACUCGUGUCCCAACCACGAAGAGAGCCACCCGGGCAGUGACAUGCCGCGGAAACACACCUCUCAAAGCACUCCGCAAUGACAAGGAGUAUCUCUGGGAGGAAAUGACCGUAACUUGCAAGAAUGAGAAAUUGCACAUAAAGAGUUGCUUAUUUGGGUUUAUGUUGAUUGCAUUUAAACCCUAGCUUACUGUAUCAGCAGUAAUCAGGGUCCCUCUACAGGAUAUGUCAAAAUACACCUUAUUCAAAUGAAUUUAUCUUAUCUAGAAUUGUGUGAUAAAACUGUUCGCUAGCUAAAUGCUACAAAACCCUGGCUCUGUGCACAAUUUUCUGCAGAUGCAUUUCUAAACUUGUGGUAGCUUUAUUGGCUUGCAAAUUGUUUUCCUUCUUUAUCAAAUACUUUAAAAACCUAAAUUAAGUCAAUAAACUAAUUUUCAUGAACUAUUGCAAACAAGUUUGUUUUUUUAAAAGGAAGUAGUUGCAGUAUUUUUUUAAGUGAGUGGAACAACAUUAAUUUCUUAACCGCCAUCUGCUUAAAAUCCAAGUAUUUGUCAGUAAUACUUUGUGCUGUGUGAACGAUAUCAUACAAACUCUUGCUUUGUGUGGGUUUGGGGUAGGCUUUUGAAAAGCAAGACGUGUCUAGGAGGGAGGCACCAGGGAACUUCCCUCCCUCGCUUGAGCACAGUCCAAGAUGAAAGUUUCUGGGUUGUUUCCCUUCGCUUCCUCUCACCCUCGCUCCCCCUCGGAGCCGCAGAGCCAGCAAUUGUGCAAGAGGAGCCGGGUGCACAGGGCGCGUAUCACGGAGCGCAUGGUACGAGCCGCCGGCUCCGGUGAUUAAUUAUCAGUGGCCGCUGGCCUCGCACUAACACCUCGGCUUUCCCGGCACAGCCAGCACACCCAGCCGCCGCCGGCGCGGCCCGGACCGAGGAGCGGCUCUGGGGAGGACGCAGAGGCUGCCGCCCGAGUGAGCCCUUUGGGAAACCAUGAAGUAACCCUGCACAUUCCAGCAACACAGUUAUGACAAAACAGAGACCAACUAUGAAGAGAUCAAAAAUUUUAAAUGUUUAGGAAGAAACAUAGCAGAAACAAAAGUUUAAGAAUCGUAAAUACUAUGGCUAUGUGUUGCUUGCCCACAUUUACUGAUAGUAAGAGAUGUACCACGGAAAUUAAGAAGUACACCAAGUCUAAGUGGCACCCAAGUUAUUAACGACAAAAUGGGAAUGUGAACACCUCCACCUCAUAACACAUAGCAGAAAUAUACUUACACAAAGUUAAGAAACUUAUAUAGUUUACAAUGUUAAAAUAGACUGAAAAAACUGAAGAAAAAACUACAGCUUUUGGAAGUGAUUUCUAAUACUUAUGAUGUUGAACAUUUAAACUGUAUUUUCACGGACUUUAAUAAAAUUCAAUUUAUA